CGCCGCGUGAGUGAAGAAGGGUUUCGGCUCGUAAAACUCUGUUGUUAAAGAAGAACAUAUCUGAGAGUAACUGUUCAGGUAUUGACGGUAUUUAACCAGAAAGCCACGGCUAACUACSUGCCAGCAGCCGCGGUAAUACGUAGGUGGCAAGCGUUGUCCGGAUUUAUUGGGCGUAAAGCGAGCGCAGGCGGUUUUUUAAGUCUGAUGUGAAAGCCUUCGGCUUAACCGAAGAAGUGCAUCGGAAACUGGGAAACUUGAGUGCAGAAGAGGACAGUGGAACUCCAUGUGUAGCGGUG
rnacentral:rRNA from 1 species